GACGAACGCUUUCUUCUUUCUUAACACAUGCAAGUCGAACGGUGAAGCGCCUUCCUUUUUGGUGGGUGUGGAUGAGUGGCGAACGGGUGAGUAACACGUGAGUAACCUGCCCCCUUCUUCUGGAUAACCGCAUGAAAGUGUGGCUAAUACGGGAUAUUCUGGGUCUGUCGCAUGAUGGGUCUGGGAAAGAUAUUGUUUCGGUGGGGGAUGGGCUCGCGGCCUAUCAGCUUGUUGGUGGGGUGAUGGCCUACCAAGGCGGUGACGGGUAGCCGGCCUGAGAGGGUGGACGGUCACACUGGGACUGAGACACGGCCCAGACUCCUACGGGAGGCAGCAGUGGGGAAUAUUGCACAAUGGGCGCAAGCCUGAUGCAGCGACGCCGCGUGAGGGAUGGAGGCCUGCGGGUUGUGAACCUCUUUCGCCAGUGAAGCAGGCCUGCCUCGUUUGUGGGUGGGUUGACGGUAGCUGGAUAAGAAGCGCCGGCUAACUACGUG
rnacentral:rRNA from 1 species